CGCGGCCAGAGUGGGCGCCAAGGCCGAGGAGGCGCCGAGAGCGAGCAAGGGCUGCGAGCGCUGCCAGCAUGCUGUCACCUCUCAACAACACCAUUGACAUUUUGUGCAGCUGAAGGCAGCAGGCCAGAUGGACAAUGUGACUAAUGUGGAGUCACACUCCAGAAGGAGUCAGAUGCAUGCAUUCUGCUUCCUAGAACGAAAAAGAUGGAUUUGAUGUCGUGAAAUGGCAAUUCUAAAACUCAGGAGAUAUGUUGGUGUUUCUGAGCUCUUACUCCAGUGUCCACUUGUCCAUAGAAUCACCUUUCACUUCUGGGGUCAGAGGACAGCUCCUGGAAUGAUCUCUCAUCUUACGGCAAAAAGUGAUUCUCAACUGAGGAUGAUUUUAUGCCUUCUACACCUUAAG
rnacentral:lncRNA from 10 species